rnacentral:lncRNA from 1 species
CUAAUACAAACACAUCUUUUUAUUCUCAAAAAGUAUGUCAACUAUUGAAUUUAAUGAAGUUUAAUGGAAUCACUUUAAAAGCUGAUUCUUACUAAUGUUGGGGAUUAUGCCUCGUAAAUGAUGUCUAUUUUAUAAAAGAAAAAAAUACUAGAGAUUCAAAUUCCCCAUAUCUUCUUUGAAGGCCAAAGGCAAUGGGAACACUUUUGCUAUAUGAUAAUUCUAACAAAUGCAAGCUGGGGAAAUCAAGUUAUUUGCUGGAAAAAGAUGUGGCAGUUGGAUUCUGUUCUGGAAUUAUAUUCUUCUCUGAAUCUCAGGAACUAAGGAUGCAUAGUUCCUGCUGGAGUUCUCCUGUAGCCUGGAGACAAUCUUGUAAACACAAACCUCUGUUAACCUAGAGAACCACAAGGACCGUUAGGAACGGUUAUCUAAUCAGAACACCAAAAAGGGGAUUAUUGUUGAAUCAGGAAACAACAGCCAGUAAUGCAUGAACAGCUGAACAAAACCGAGUCAUGCUACAAAACAUCACCUUGGAUUUUAAGAAAAAAAAUGGUUGCACUCCGACAACUGAGUACAGCCCUCAGCUCAUGCUCUCUCCAAAAUGAAUUAGUAGAGCUAGUUGGAAGAGGUUUCCGGCAUGCUAGAAACUCCCCCAGCAGUCAAACAACAUGCACAAUUGAACUGCUAUAUCUGGGAAGGCUCACUAGCACCCUUUCCUUUACGAACUCAGCUGCAGCCAGAGUCCUUCAGAGAUUCCAAAUUAGUCUAGUCAUCUUUCAACAGUUUCACUAAAGAAAGCAAAACCAAAAUAACCAAGCCAAACAAAAAUAAACAAAAAGUCUCCUAACA